rnacentral:rRNA from 1 species
UACGGAGGGGGCGAGCGUUAUUCGGAAUUAUUGGGCGUAAAGGGCGCGUAGGCGGCUGUACAAGUCAAAGGUGAAAUCCCUCGGCUCAACUGAGGAACUGCCUUUGAAACUGUACGGCUUGAGGCCGGGAGGGGGUAGCAGAAUUCCCAGUGUAGCGGUGAAAUGCGUAGAUACUGGGAGGAACACCAGUGGCGAAGGCGGCUACCUGGACCGGUUCUGACGCUGAGGCGCGAAAGCGUGGGUAGCAAACAGG